rnacentral:rRNA from 1 species
UACGUAGGGUGCGAGCGUUAAUCGGAAUUACUGGGCGUAAAGCGUGCGCAGGCGGUUUUGUAAGUCUGACGUGAAAUCCCCGGGCUUAACCUGGGAACUGCAUUGGUGACUGGCGGGCUAGAGUGUGGCAGAGGGGGGUAGAAUUCCACGUGUAGCAGUGAAAUGCGUAGAGAUGUGGAGGAAUACCGAUGGCGAAGGCAGCCCCCUGGGCUAACACUGACGCUCAUGCACGAAAGCGUGGGGAGCAAACAGG